ACUCCUACGGGAGGCAGCAGUGGGGAAUAUUGCACAAUGGGGAAACCCUGAUGCAGCCAUGCCGCGUGUGUGAAGAAGGCCUCGGUUGUAAAGCACUUCAGUAGGGAGGAAGGUAGUGUAGUUAACACCUGCAUUAUUUGACGUUACCUACAGAAGAAGCACCGGCUAACUCCGUGCCAGCAGCCGCGGUAAUACGGAGGGUGCGAGCGUUAAUCGGAAUUACUGGGCGUAAAGCGCAUGCAGGCGGCCUGUUAAGUCAGAUGUGAAAGCCCGGGGGCUUAACCUCGGAAUUGCAUUUGAAACUGGCAGGCUAGAGUCUUGUAGAGGGGGUAGAAUUUCAGGUGUAGCGGUGAAAUGCGUAGAGAUCUGAAGGAAUACCAGUGGCGAAGGCGGCCCCCUGGACAAAGACUGACGCUCAGAUGCGAAAGCGUGGGGAGCAAACAGGAUUAGAUACCCUGGUAGCACAGA
rnacentral:rRNA from 1 species